GGUGGCUCAGUGGUAGAGCACUUGACUUGUAUGCAUAAGGCCCUGGGUUCGAUUCCUCAGCACCA
rnacentral:tRNA from 1 species